AUUCUAUGAUGAGGGCAGUUACGAAAUAAUUCUUUGAAUCUCUCCCAUGCCUCGUACAAAGAUUCAUCAUCCAAUUGUUGAAAGGUGGUUAUCUCAUUUUGCAACU
rfam:Gossypium hirsutum cultivar TM-1 chromosome 6, whole genome shotgun sequence